UAAUACGAAGGGGGCUAGCGUUGCUCGGAAUUACUGGGCGUAAAGGGCGCGUAGGCGGGUCGUUAAGUUGGGGGUGAAAGCCCGGGGCUCAACCUCGGAAAUGCCUUCAAUACUGGCGACCUUGAGUAUGGGAGAGGUGAGUGGAACUCCGAGUGUAGAGGUGAAAUUCGUAGAUAUUCGGAAGAACACCAGUGGCGAAGGCGACUCACUGGCCCAUUACUGACGCUGAGGCGCGAAAGCGUGGGGAGCAAACAGG
rnacentral:rRNA from 1 species